rnacentral:rRNA from 1 species
GACGAACGCUGGCGGCGUGCUUAACACAUGCAAGUCGAACGGGUCUGCCCUGUUUUUUGCGGGGUGGGUCAGUGGCGAACGGGUGAGUAACACGUGAGUAACCUGCCCCUCACUUCUGGAUAACCGCUUGAAAGGGUGGCUAAUACGGGGUGUUCUGGCUGUGCCGCAUGGUGUGGCUGGGAAAGAUUCACUUUUGUGGUGUUUUGGUGGGGGAUGGGCUCGCGGCCUAUCAGCUUGUUGGUGGGGUGAUGGCCUGCCAAGGCUUUGACGGGUAGCCGGCAUGAGGGGGUGGGCGGGCACACUGGGACGGAGGUACGGCCCAGACUCCUGCGGGAGGCAGCAGUGGUGGGUAUUGGACAAUGGGCGGAAGACUGAUGCAGCGACGUCGCGUGAGGGAUGGAGGCCUUCGGGUUGUGAACCUCUUUCGCCGGUGAAGAAGGUCCUGCUCUUUGUGGUGGGGUUGACGGUAGCCGGGUUAUGAAGCGCCGGCUAACUACGUG